GGGGAAUAUUGCGCAAUGGGGGCAACCCUGACGCAGCCAUGCCGCGUGAAUGAAGAAGGCCUUCGGGUUGUAAAGUUCUUUCGGUAGCGAGGAAGGCAUUUAGUUUAAUAGACUAGGUGAUUGACGUUAACUACAGAAGAAGCACCGGCUAACUCCGUGCCAGCAGCCGCGGUAAUACGGAGGGUGCGAGCGUUAAUCGGAAUAACUGGGCGUAAAGGGCACGCAGGCGGUGACUUAAGUGAGGUGUGAAAGCCCCGGGCUUAACCUGGGAAUUGCAUUUCAUACUGGGUCGCUAGAGUACUUUAGGGAGGGGUAGAAUUCCACGUGUAGCGGUGAAAUGCGUAGAGAUGUGGAGGAAUACCGAAGGCGAAGGCAGCCCCUUGGGAAUGUACUGACGCUCAUGUGCGAAAGCGUGGGGAGCAAACAGGAUUAGAUACCCUGGUAGUCCACGCUGUAAACGAUGUCGAUUUGGGGGUUGAACUAUAAGUUUGGCGCCCGUAGCUAACGUGAUAAAUCGACCGCCUGGGGAGUACGGCCGCAAGGUUA
rnacentral:rRNA from 1 species